GUGGGGAAUAUUGCGCAAUGGGGGAAACCCUGACGCAGCAACGCCGCGUGCGGGAUGAAGGCCUUCGGGUUGUAAACCGCUUUCAGCAGGGAAGAUCCAAGACGGUACCUGCAGAAGAAGCCCCGGCUAACUACGUGCCAGCAGCCGCGGUAAUACGUAGGGGGCGAGCGUUAUCCGGAUUCAUUGGGCGUAAAGCGCGCGCAGGCGGGUUGCUAAGCGGGACCUCUAAUCCUGGGGCUCAACCUCAGGCCGGGUCCCGAACUGGCAGCCUCGGGUUCGGUAGGGGAGAUCGGAAUUCCCGGUGUAGCGGUGGAAUGCGCAGAUAUCGGGAAGAACACCGAUGGCGAAGGCAGAUCUCUGGGCCGCAACCGACGCUGAGGCGCGAAAGCUAGGGGAGCGAACAGGA
rnacentral:rRNA from 1 species